CUACCCUUGACAUGUCCGGAACUUGCCAGAGAUGGCUUGGUGCCCGAAAGGGAACCGGAACACAGGUGCUGCAUGGCUGUCGUCAGCUCGUGUCGUGAGAUGUUGGGUUAAGUCCCGCAACGAGCGCAACCCUUGUCCUUAGUUGCUACGCAAGGGCACUCUAAGGAGACUGCCGGUGACAAACCGGAGGAAGGUGGGGAUGACGUCAAGUCCUCAUGGCCCUUAUGGGUAGGGCUUCACACGUCAUACAAUGGUCGGUACAGAGGGUUGCCAAGCCGCGAGGUGGAGCCAAUCCCACAAAGCCGAUCGUAGUCCGGAUUGUUCUCUGCAACUCGAGAGCAUGAAGUCGGAAUCGCUAGUAAUCGCAGGUCAGCAUACUGCGGUGAAUACGUUCCC
rnacentral:rRNA from 1 species